AGGAUUCUACCAGCCUUUCAAAGAACACACAGCAGCGUUCCUCAAACUGUAAUGUAAAAUAUGAAAGAGGGAGCAUUUCUAGAGUCUUCAGCCAGGGUGCCCUGCAAAGCCGCCCUUGUGUCCUCUCCCAACAACUUUGACUCAAGUUCCUCGAGACAGGCUGUUGUCUGACAGAGUCUGUCUAGGACCCAGGAGAGCCACCACAGCCAAGGGAAGACAGAGUUGGAACUUACUGCAACACUCACCUCCAGAGAACCCCGCUGGCUGCAGAAACUCUCAGUCUAGACGUUCUACAGGACUGAACAUGGUAAUCCCAGGGACAGCCACCACUGAUGGGCUUCACACUCAAAAGACCAGGCAAGAAGCCACAUUUGUGACUGAUGACAUCCAGUGAACCAGAAGGGCAGGGGAAUUAUACAGAACCCUGUGGCUGUAUCCCAGGACAGGGUGUGUAAUGGCUAUUCCUGGUUGUCAACUUGACUAUAUCUGGAAUGGACUACAAUCCAGAAUUGGAAGACACACCUGUGAACCAGAUCUUGAGGCUGGAAGAUACAAGUGUCUGACCUGGAUCUUGGCAUGGAGAUCUUGAGGCAUAGUGGCCAUGAAAAGCUUAGGCCCAGACAAGGUGGUACAUGCCUUUAAUCCCAGGAGACUGUGGCAAGGAGGUUUCUGAGUUCAAGAUCAACCUGGGACAAAGCAAAUCCCAGAUCCGGGCAUUGUCGUGGUAUAUACCUUUAAUCUGGGCCACACUUUCUGCUGGAGGCCUAAACAAGGACAUUGGAAGAAGGAAGAUUCGCUCUUCUUCCCCUGCGUGCACUUACUAGCCAGCACAUCUGUCGGAACCUACUUCUACAGAAGACCAGCUGAAACACCCAGCCUCGUGGAACUGAGCAACUACUGGAUCCUUGGACUUCCCAUUCACAGCUGGCCAUUGUUAGGUUAGUCGGAAUGCAGCAGACUGUAAGUCAUCACAAUAAAUUCCGUCAGUAUAGAGAGACAUUCCAUAAAUUCUGUGACUCUGGACAACCUUGACUAAUACAGGGUAGAUGGCUGGAACUCACACAGAAUUUUCUUGUGCUUAAAGCAACCCACAGGCAGCCAGCAGGUGGUCAGCCUUCAGCCUUUGUAUUAAGACCCACCUCCUCACCCACUGUUGCCAGAUGAAUUGAACAACAGGGAAGAUAAUUCCAAUCACAAACCAAUGUGAGUUAUAUUUGAUGUGUUUCCCAUCUGAUAUCUGAGAGAUACUUAAACUAAUGUUUUUAUAUGUGAAAUUCAAAUUUGCCUGGGAUUAGAGUUGGGGUUCAUGUUAGCCAUGUAACAGGGCCUCAGAUCUUAGCCCAACCAACUCACGAUGGAAAUACCAUUCAGGCCAUAAAACUUGGAUGACAGGCAGAGUUUAAUGCCAAAACGAAAACAAAGACCUAAUCCAUC
ensembl:lincRNA Gm42864 predicted gene 42864